GAUGAAGGCUGGCGGCGUGCCUAAUACACGCAAGUCGAGCGAACAGACGAGGAGCUUGCUCCUCUGACGUUAGCGGCGGACGGGUGAGUAACACGUGGAUAACCUACCUAUAAGACUGGGAUAACUUCGGGAAACCGGAGCUAAUACCGGAUAAUAUAUUGAACCGCAUGGUUCAAUAGUGAAAGACGGUUUUGCUGUCACUUAUAGAUGGAUCCGCGCCGCAUUAGCUAGUUGGUAAGGUAACGGCUUACCAAGGCAACGAUGCGUAGCCGACCUGAGAGGGUGAUCGGCCACACUGGAACUGAGACACGGUCCAGACUCCUACGGGAGGCAGCAGUAGGGAAUCUUCCGCAAUGGGCGAAAGCCUGACGGAGCAACGCCGCGUGAGUGAUGAAGGUCUUCGGAUCGUAAAACUCUGUUAUUAGGGAAGAACAAAUGUGUAAGUAACUAUGCACGUCUUGACGGUACCUAAUCAGAAAGCCACGGCUAACUACGUG
rnacentral:rRNA from 1 species